rnacentral:rRNA from 1 species
UGGGGAAUAUUGGACAAUGGGCGAAAGCCUGAGCCAGCCAGGGCGCGUGGGGGAAGAAGGUCGUCGGAUUGGAAAGCACUGUAAGUUGGGAGGAAGGGCAGUAAGCGAAUACAGUGCUGUGUUGACGUUACCGACAGAAUAAGCAGCGGCGAACACGGUGCCAGCAGCCGCGGUAAUACAGAGGGUGCAAGCGUUAAUCGGAAUUACUGGGCGUAAAGCGCGCGUAGGUGGUUCGUUAAGUUGAAUGUGAAAGCCCCGGGCUCACCCUGUGAACUGCAUCCAACACUGGCGAGCUAGAGUAGGGCAGAGAGUGGUGGAAUUUCCUGUGUCGCGGUGACAUGCGUAGAUAUAGGAAGGAACACCAGUGGCGAAGGCGACCACCUGGGCUCCUACUGACACUGAGGUGCGCACGCGUGGGGCGCACACACG